rnacentral:rRNA from 1 species
AUUGAACGCUGGCGGCAUGCUUUACACAUGCGAGUCGAACGGCAGCGCGGGCUUCGGCCUGGCGGCGAGUGGCGAACGGGUGAGUAAUGCAUCGGAACGUGCCCAGUCGUGGGGGAUAGCCCGGCGAAAGCCGGAUUAAUACCGCAUACGACCUGAGGGUGAAAGCGGGGGACCGAAAGGCCUCGCGCUAUUGGAGCGGCCGAUGUCGGAUUAGCUAGUUGGUGGGGUAAAGGCUUACCAAGGCGACGAUCCGUAGCUGGUCUGAGAGGACGACCAGCCACACUGGGACUGAGACACGGCCCAGACUCCUACGGGAGGCAGCAGUGGGGAAUUUUGGGCAAUGGGGGCAACCCUGAUCCAGCCAUGCCGCGUGCGGGAAGAAGGCCUUCGGGUUGUAAACCGCUUUUGUUCGGGAAGAAAUCCUCUGGGCUAAUACCCCGAGGGGAUGACGGUACCGGAAGAAUAAGCACCGGCUAACUACGUG